rnacentral:rRNA from 1 species
AUUGAACGCUAGCGGUAGGCCUAACACAUGCAAGUCGAGCGAGUGGCGGACGGGUGAGUAAUGUAUGGGGAUCUGCCUGAUGGAGGGGGAUAACUACUGGAAACAGUAGCUAAUACCGCAUACCAUCAGAUGAACCUAUAUGGGAUUAGCUUGUAGGUGAGGUAACGGCUCACCAAGGCCACGAUCCGUAGCUGGUUUGAGAGGAUGAUCAGCCACACUGGGACUGAGACACGGCCCAGACUCCUACGGGAGGCAGCAGUGGGGAAUAUUGCACAAUGGGCGAAAGCCUGAUGCAGCCAUGCCGCGUGUAUGAAGAAGGCCUUCGGGUUGUAAAGUACUUUCAGUCGGGAGGCGUUACCGACAGAAGAAGCACCGGCUAACUCCGUGCCAGCAGCCGCGGUAAUAC